CCUCAAACUCGCGGUGAUCUUCCUUCCUCAGCCUCCUGAGUUCCAGGGAGGCUCUGCAUAUUUUAACAUAAUUCCUCACCUCUUUUCUAUUCCUGGUUAAUAAAACUUAGCUCAAUUACUGUGACGGUCUUAAAUCAAGUUUAAAAUUAGAACUUUGACGUUUGGCUUCUUUAUCUAAUGUCCACUUGUCCCCCACGAGCUGACCAGAGCCUCAGCAGCUAGGGGUAUGUGACAGGAGGGACUGUUUUUCUGAGGCAUCCUGCAUGUAUUUCCUCUGGCUCUGAGAGUUCCUGGUCAGCCCAGGCCAUGUGAAGACGGCAGCCAGGUUCUACUUUUACUUCAGCAGAGUUUGGAGCCCCUCGGUGUCCCUCGAUAUCCUUACCCCCACCAGGGAGAGGCCUUAGCCGAGGACAUGAAUAUGCCUCAGCCCACGGCGCUGUCCCUCAGUUCGCGGAGCACUCGGACUUGAUGGAGCGCCGCAGUGAGGACCGCGCUUCCCGCGCAGCUCCGCCUCUGUAGAGCCAGAAACCUGCUCCCCACGCACCCCGUGCUGCAGACACGCCGGAGACGAGCAGGAGCUGCCUCGUCGCUGAGAGGGACUUCACCACAGCACUGUGAGAGGGGCGGUGCAUUUUUCAUGGAGCUGAAGAAGGUGCCAUGGCUCCGUGUACCUGAAGCCGCAUGCUCCUUUUGCUCCUGACAUUCCCAGUGCCUGCAGAGGCUCAGGGCCUCCCUGUGCCCAGGGUCACCUUACCCAUAAACACUUGGGUGACCGUAUCCACAGUGACAGCUGACAUCUGACAAUUCCCUCCACGCAAGGUGCUUCAUCUACUUGGCUUGCACGUGGCAGAAAGUUAGCUGGACACACACCAAUCCCAAAGGUUGCUUCCUAGCAGCUGUGAACACAGUAAAUUCGGUUCUGAUGGCAGAGUAGACGGCAAGUACGUCCCCCGCACAAGGAUGAAGCGUGGAGACCAAGCCUCUCGCUUCAGUGGGGCGACAGCAGCUGCUGCACAAGACAUCGCCGGAGAAAGUCUAAGGUUCGGACAGCCAGAACAGGAGAAUUUCUGGGUCUGCAUCUCUUUCCAUUUCAGUCAUGUGAUGCCUUUGACAGACAACCUUUUAAUGUUUCGCUUCCCAUACUUACUGGCAUGAAAUGGAAGACAGGAGGGUGGGUGAGCUCCGAGCUGGGCUGUCUGAAAACGAACCUGAAACCUGGCUCACACGUGCACUCCAGCCCCAGUGCUUCCUCUCGGAUGACAAUGAUGCCACCGCGCCCCCAUGACUGUUUACAUCCGAUGCCACCCUUGGGGAGGUGGCUGUGGCCGCGGGAGCUGUGGACAUGCGCUCUGCUCUGUGUAGUCCAGGAGCUGAUGCCACAGAAUCUUAGCUGCCCAAGCAGCGUGCAAGCUCCACCCAGAGAGCACGUUCCUCCCGCAGUGACUUUCGGAGCCACUCACUGCAAAGCUGCUUCUGGGUGUAAAAUUCUCUUUCACCGACUUGAACCUUUGCGCCACCUUAUUCGAGCCGAUCUUGGACGACCUGUGGAACAAGAGGGGAAAAGCAAGGGGCCGCUGUUCUUGCUCAUUCCCAGGGAGUUCCGCCCAGCCGCGUUUUCAGCUUUCCGACCUUCACUGCGCACCUUUCCUCCUCCGCUCCGGCGCAGCGGGAGUACGGUGGCGGCAGGGAACAGGUCAGCUGUUUUAAAAAGGGGGCAUGAACAUUUCCAUUUUAAAGAUUUAAUCAAAAGUUAUGAGGAAAUACUAUAAGAUGAAAUUGUAACAAAAUAUCUAAUACGAAAUCAAAAUGAAUUAUUUAAUUCCAUCCUGUUUUCUAACGUUACAAAUUAAGAUGCUCGGGAGUCUUUGGACACUCCCUUAGAUUUUUCUCAUAGUAUUUUAGAGCUUCCUCACAAAGGAGAAAGGAGCGCUUGCUUCGGAGAAGUUCCAGGCUUUGGCAGAAGCCUGGCUGCCUGGACUUGCGUUCGGGGCCCUGGGGGUUGUCACCGCGGGCAGAGUGGCAUCAAGCUCGGUUUCCCCCUCCGCACGCUGUCCGAGUCCUCCGGUGGCCAGGGAAUUUGUCAUAGGAAUCCUGUGUCCAGGAGGACAUUCUUUUCGUGACACCUCUUUGGUUUACAAUUACUGACUCAAUCCACCUGUCACAUAUGGAAGAGAAAAAUCUUUCGGUUCAACAUUACACCUUGUCCUUUGCGCUUUACCAGUUUACUUUCUGUUUCUUAGCCAAUGGGCCCUCACUGGCCUCAGAACGGACCUCAGCGUGGGAUGGCGCUCAGUCGUGGUGGGUCAGGCGCCGUGACUUCUGAGCCCUGCCCCGCAGAGUGGCCCCUUUGGUAUGGAGAUGGCGCCCGCACGCUCUCCUGGGUGGGGUGCAGGGCUGAGCGGCUGGCUGUCCAGGUCUGGGUCUGGAUGGCCCCCAGGGCCAGGGACCAGGCAGCGCUCUCCAACCUCCCUCCCUCCCGAUCUCCCCAGCCUUGCUGUCCGUGGGGUCCCCAGGCGGACAGGCUCCCUUGGGCUGGGGCUGAUCCUCGCUGUCCCAGUGUAGAGCUGUUCUUCCUGUGGACCAGGGCCCUUCUUUUUGGCUUCAGGAGCCCGCCCAUCCUGUGCAGGGGAACCUCUGACAGGAGGAGCCGGGAACCGCCUCUCUUCCCUGGGCUGAAGGGACCAGGUGGCUGGUGUCCAGGGCUGUGUGUGCCUACAGAGGCCCCUCUUGUUCCCGUCCCUUCGGCCUUGCCCUCUCUGACCUGGCCUCUCAGGGUUCGGAACCCGCUGCCCCCUACCCCCACCUGGGUCUCAGCCCCUGGUCUGUGGUUCGAGCACUGGGACCACAGGUCAAUAUUUUCUCAGUAUCUGCAGCUCAGUAUUCACUGAUUUGCUCCCUGGGCACUGGAUCCAUGGCGGUUUCCAGAGGGGCCCCAAGAAGCCAGAGUGGUCUUGCAAGGAGGCAGAAUGUGGUGCCUCUCCCCAGGCUAGAGUGGACAGGGUCACCAGGGGCAAGAGAGGGGGAAGGUCAGGUGGCAUGGACACCCCUGCGUCCACCUGGACCAGCACUGGGAGGGAGGGGGGCAGGCUUUGAGGACACCCCCAUGUCCAUCCAGCUGCAGCAGGGAGGGAAGAGGGGCUAGGCUCUGUCACCCACCAGCACCUCCUGGCACCGGCAGCUGCACCUGCCCCAGCCGUCCCAGGUCAGGUCCCUGCCACCUGCCCCCCUCCAUUCCUAAGGCACUGCACCCCAAAGCCUGAGCAAUAACGACCACCUGACUCAGAACAGUGGCUGCAUCUGGGCGGGUGUGGGGUCUGGGCAGGGAGGCUGUGUGACCAGCGAUCACUUAGAUGGGUUCCCGAGGGAUCUGUAGGUGCUAGGUGGAGGCUGAAGGAGCUGGAGACCUGGCCUUGAGCUGCGUCCUCCACUUCUGCCCUUUCCUUGAGGUCAUGAGAGGUCAUCGCUGGCGGAACUCGGCCCCUGAGCUCAGUGGAUGUGGCGUCACUCUGUGCAGAGGAUCACAGGGGCUUCUGAAAGUUUGGCCCUGUAAGAACGGACCUGGGCCCACGGUCCCGACACAGCACCCAGAACACAGCACCUUUCCUGGGCUCCGGCCUUGCCUCGCCGUACCUCACACAGGAAGCCACUGAGCACUGGGCUCCCUGGCCAGAACCGGGCACCGAGGCUGAGCACCACGCGGCACACCCCACGCCCACCGCCUCCGAGACAGCCCAGCCAGCUCGGCCAAGAUAGAUGGCCUCCACCCUUGGUGCGGAUAACGACAUUUCAAUAAUCACAUGCUGGGGUCUUUAGGUCUGGAUUUAUUAUUAUUGCUAAUAAUAAUAAAAAUAAAGAUUGCUUAUG